rnacentral:tRNA from 2 species
ACGGGCGUGGUGAAAUUGGUAUACACCGGACUUAAAAUCCGGAGGCCUCGGCCAUGCGGGUUCAAGUCCCGCCGCCGGCACCA